AGGGUUCGAUUCUGGCUCAGGAUGAACGCUGGCGGCGUGCUUAACACAUGCAAGUCGAACGGGAUCCAUCAGGCUUUGCUUGGUGGUGAGAGUGGCGAACGGGUGAGUAAUGCGUGACCGACCUGCCCCAUGCACCGGAAUAGCUCCUGGAAACGGGUGGUAAUGCCGGAUGCUCCAUCACAUCGCAUGGUGUGUUGGGAAAGCCUUUGCGGCAUGGGAUGGGGUCGCGUCCUAUCAGCUUGAUGGCGGGGUAACGGCCCACCAUGGCUUCGACGGGUAGCCGGCCUGAGAGGGCGACCGGCCACAUUGGGACUGAGAUACGGCCCAGACUCCUACGGGAGGCAGCAGUGGGGAAUAUUGCACAAUGGGCGCAAGCCUGAUGCAGCGACGCCGCGUGAGGGAUGGAGGCCUUCGGGUUGUAAACCUCUUUUGUUAGGGAGCAAGGCACUUUGUGUUGAGUGUACCUUUCGAAUAAGCACCGGCUAACUACGUGCCAGCAGCCGCGGUAAUACGUAGGGUGCAAGCGUUAUCCGGAAUUAUUGGGCGUAAAGGGCUCGUAGGCGGUUCGUCGCGUCCGGUGUGAAAGUCCAUCGCUUAACGGUGGAUCCGCGCCGGGUACGGGCGGGCUUGAGUGCGGUAGGGGAGACUGGAAUUCCCGGUGUAACGGUGGAAUGUGUAGAUAUCGGGAAGAACACCAAUGGCGAAGGCAGGUCUCUGGGCCGUUACUGACGCUGAGGAGCGAAAGCGUGGGGAGCGAACAGGAUUAGAUACCCUGGUAGUCCACGCCGUAAACGGUGGAUGCUGGAUGUGGGGCCCGUUCCACGGGUUCCGUGUCGGAGCUAACGCGUUA
rnacentral:rRNA from 1 species